rnacentral:rRNA from 1 species
AAGGAUCAUUAGUGAAAAUCUGGGAAGCCAUUCUAUGGCGCCCAAACCCUCACCAUUAUCCACAAACACCUGUGCAUUGUUGGUUGCUUGCUAGUCCUUUGGGCUAUUCAGGCGCCGACGCCCAAUUUACAAACUCUGAGUUCAUUGAAUGUGAAAUUAAUACUUGUUCAUUUUGAACAGAAAUAAACAUAACUUUCGACAACGGAUCUCUUGGUUCUCCCAUCGAUGAAGAACGCAGCGAAUCGCGAUAGGUAAUGUGAAUUGCAGAAUUCAGUGAAUCAUCGAAUCUUUGAACGCACCUUGCGCUUGGUGGCAUUCCGCCAAGCAUGCCUGUUUGAGUGUCAUGAACACCUCAAACCCCAAUGUUUUGAAAGAAGCAUUGCUUGGGUUUGGUUCUUGGGCUAUUACUUGCUGCUUUAUUGCCAGCUAGCCUUAAAGAUAUUAGCUGGACUCGAGCUUUCGAGUGCCUUCAACGCUUGAUGUGAUAAAUGUUACGUCGUGCUUGGAGUGCUCAACUGCUUAUUAGAGUCCGCUUCUAAUACGGCGAGAAGACUAAACCCUUCGACCCACUAUUUUAAUAUCUGGCCUCAAAUCAGGUAGGAUUACCCGCUGAACUUAA